UGAUAAAAUCUAUAAGUAAGACACAAGAUUUUUAUUAUUACUAAAAUAUAUUCCAAGUGCAACAGUAUAACAAGUAACCAUUCGCACAUAAAAUUUAAAAGGAAGCAAACAGAUAAGAAACCAUAAUGGCGCGCACAGGAGACGAAUGUUUUGCACGAACGCGUGCUGUCGGAUUCAAUUGACCGGCUGAAAUAAUGGAUAUACUCAAGGCAUCAGGAUCGAUCGCUUCACUAACGGUGAAAAGUGGCGAACUUUGCAGCCGAAAUAGUUUAGCUCCGUCAUGCCAACACCAGCAUCCGGUGGAUCCCCCAAAGUGCUGAAGGAACGGUGAAGUCCGCGACGGGAUCACUUAACCCUCUGGUCUUAAAUAUCUGGUAUUAUUCAUGGAAUAAAGUAAACUCGGUUGCAAAUUAUUAAAAUAUUGCAUUUAUUUACGUUUCGAAGCCAAUCCCACCUGAAAAUGGUUUUGUUAUUCGAUCCAAUAUAACCCAUACGCUGAACGAUUGAAAACCGAAAGCGACGCACAUAAAUUCUAUCAUGAUUGAAUCGACAAUGACUCAACAGCGCCGCACAUAGUUUUCAAGUGUAAAAGCAACUGGUCAUAAUCUAAAUGCAGAACUAUUAAAUUUAAUAUGUUUUUUAUUCUGAGUGUAUG